rnacentral:sRNA from 1 species
GCCAGGCAUGGUGGUGCAUACCUGUAAUCCCAACAACUCAGGAGGCUGAAACAGGAGGAUUGCAAAAUUCAGAGUCAGCCUCAGCAAUUUAGUGAGAUCCCGUUUCAA